GAAAUGCGUAGAUAUCGGUACGCAUAGCAGUGCGAUGCGGCCUACUAGACGGAUACUGACGCUGAGCGCGAAGCUAGGCGAGCAACAUGAUUAGAUAUCCCCGGUAGUCCUAGCUGUAACGAUGUCGACUUGGUGUGAGCCGGUUUUCGGUUCGUGCCGUAGUUCACGCGAUAAGUCGACCGCUGGGGAGUACGGUCGCAAGGCUGAAACUCACAGGAAUUGACGGGGGCCCGCACAAGCGGUGGAGCAUGUGGUUCAAUUCGAUGCAACGCGAAGAACCUUACCGGGGUUUGAACUGUGUCUGAAAUCUCCAGAGAUGGAGCUCUCUAGCAAUAGACAGAUAUAGAGGUGCUGCAUGGCUGUCGUCAGCUCGUGUCGUGAGAUGUUGGGUUAAGUCCCGCAACGAGCGCAACCCUUGCUUUUAGUUGCUCACUCGUAAGAGUAGCACUCUAAAAAGGACUGCUGGUGAUAAACCGGAGGAAGGUGGGGAUGACGUCAAGUCAUCAUGGCCUUUAUGCCCCGGGCUACACACGUGCUACAAUGGCUGGUACAAAGGGUCGCUAAGCCGCAAGGUGGAGCCAAUCCCAUCAAAACCAGCCUCAGUUCGGAUUGCACUCUGCAACUCGAGUGCAUGAAGUUGGAAUCGCUAGUAAUCGCGGAUCAGCAUGCCGCGGUGAAUACGUUUCCGGGCCUUGUACACACCGCCCGUCACACCACGAAAGUGGAUUGUACCCGAAGCCGUCGUGCUAACCCUUUGGGAGGCAGACGCCCAAGGUAUGAUUCAUGAUUGGGGUGAAGUCGUAACAAGGUAACCA
rnacentral:rRNA from 1 species